rnacentral:rRNA from 1 species
AACGAACGCUGGCGGCAGACUUAACACAUGCAAGUCGAACGCCCCGCAAGGGGAGUGGCAGACGGGUGAGUACCGCGUGGGAACAUACCCUUUUCUACGGAAUAGCUCUGGGAAACUGGAAUUAAUACCGUAUACGCCCUACGGGGGAAAGAUUUAUCGGGGAAGGAUUGGCCCGCGUUGGAUUAGCUAGUUGGUGGGGUAAAGGCCUACCAAGGCGACGAUCCAUAGCUGGUCUGAGAGGAUGAUCAGCCACAUUGGGACUGAGACACGGCCCAAACUCCUACGGGAGGCAGCAGUGGGGAAUAUUGGACAAUGGGCGCAAGCCUGAUCCAGCCAUGCCGCGUGAGUGAUGAAGGCCUUAGGGUUGUAAAGCUCUUUCACCGAUGAAGAUAAUGACGGUAGUCGGAGAAGAAGCCCCGGCUAACUUCGUG